GAUGAAGAACGUAGCGAAAUGCGAUACGUAAUGUGAAUUGCAGAAUUCAGUGAAUCAUCGAGUCUUUGAACGCACAUUGCGCCCCCUGGUAUUCCGGGGGGCAUGCCUGUCCGAGCGUCAUUGCUGCCCUCAAGCACGGCUUGUGUGUUGGGCCUCCGUCCUCCUCCCGGGGGACGGGCCCGAAAGGCAGCGGCGGCACCGCGUCCGGUCCUCGAGCGUAUGGGGCUUCGUCACCCGCUCUUNNNNNNNCGGCCGGCGCUUGCCGACACAUCAAUCUUUUUUCCAGGUUGACCUCGGAUCAGGUAGGGAUACCCGCUGAACUUAAGCAUAUCAAUAAGCGGAGGA
rnacentral:misc_RNA from 1 species